rnacentral:rRNA from 1 species
UACGUAGGGUGCAAGCGUUAUCCGGAAUUAUUGGGCGUAAAGAGCUCGUAGGCGGUUUGUCGCGUCUGCUGUGAAAACUGGAGGCUCAACCUCCAGCCUGCAGUGGGUACGGGCAGACUAGAGUGCGGUAGGGGAGAUUGGAAUUCCUGGUGUAGCGGUGGAAUGCGCAGAUAUCAGGAGGAACACCGAUGGAGCGAAGGCAG